rnacentral:rRNA from 1 species
AUUGAACGCUGGCGGCAUGCUUUACACAUGCAAGUCGAACGGUAACAGGCCGCAAGGUGCUGACGAGUGGCGAACGGGUGAGUAAUGCAUCGGAACGUGCCCAGUCGUGGGGGAUAACGCAGCGAAAGCUGCGCUAAUACCGCAUACGAUCUCUGGAUGAAAGCGGGGGACCGAAAGGCCUCGCGCGAUUGGAGCGGCCGAUGUCUGAUUAGGUAGUUGGUGGGGUAAAGGCCCACCAAGCCAACGAUCUGUAGCUGGUCUGAGAGGACGACCAGCCACACUGGGACUGAGACACGGCCCAGACUCCUACGGGAGGCAGCAGUGGGGAAUUUUGGACAAUGGGCGCAAGCCUGAUCCAGCAAUGCCGCGUGCAGGAAGAAGGCCUUCGGGUUGUAAACUGCUUUUGUACGGAACGAAACGGUCCUGGUUAAUACCUGGGGCUAAUGACGGUACCGUAAGAAUAAGCACCGGCUAACUACGUGCCAGCAGCCGCAGUAACAC